AUUGAACGCUGGCGGCAGGCCUAACACAUGCAAGUCGAGCGGAUGAAGGGAGCUUGCUCCUGGAUUCAGCGGCGGACGGGGGAGUAAUGCCUAGGAAUCUGCCUGGUAAUGGGGGAUAACGUCCGGAAACGGGCGCUAAUACCGCAUACGUCCUGAGGGUGAAAGUGGGGGAUCUUCGGACCUCACGCUCUCAGAUGGGCCUAGGUCGGAUUAGCUAGUUGGUGGGGUAAAGGCCUACCAAGGCGACGAUCCGUAACUGGUCUGAGAGGAUGAUCAGUCACACUGGAACUGAGACACGGUCCAGACUCCUACGGGAGGCAGCAGUGGGGAAUAUUGGACAAUGGGCGAAAGCCUGAUCCAGCCAGGCCGCGUGUGUGAAGAAGGUCUUCGGAUUGUAAAGCACUUUAAGUUGGGAGGAAGGGCAGUAAGUUAAUACCUUGCUGGUUUGACGUUACCAACAGAAUAAGCACCGGCUAACUUCGUG
rnacentral:rRNA from 1 species